CCUACAUGAAGCUGGAGUUACUAGUAAUCGCAGAUCAGAAUGCUGCGGUGAAUGCGUUCCCGGGUCUUGUACACACCGCCCGUCAAACCACGGGAGUUGGAGACGCCCGAAGCCGAUUAUCUAACCUGUUGGAAGAAGUCGUCGAAGGUGGAAUCAAUAACUGGGGUGAAGUCGUAACAAGGUAGCCGUAUCGGAAGGUGCGGCUGGAUCACC
rnacentral:rRNA from 1 species